rnacentral:rRNA from 1 species
CAGCAGUGGGGAAUAUUGCACAAUGGGGGAAACCCUGAUGCAGCGACGCCGCGUGGAGGAAGAAGGUUUUCGGAUUGUAAACUCCUGUCGUUAGGGACGAUAAUGACGGUACCUAACAAGAAAGCACCGGCUAACUACGUGCCAGCAGCCGCGGUAAAACGUAGGGUGCAAGCGUUGUCCGGAAUUACUGGGUGUAAAGGGAGCGCAGGCGGGAAGACAAGUUGGAAGUGAAAUCCAUGGGCUCAACCCAUGAACUGCUUUCAAAACUGUUUUUCUUGAGUAGUGCAGAGGUAGGCGGAAUUCCCGGUGUAGCGGUGGAAUGCGUAGAUAUCGGGAGGAACACCAGUGGCGAAGGCGGCCUACUGGGCACCAACUGACGCUGAGGCUCGAAAGUGUGGGUAGCAAACAGGAUUAGAUACCCUGGUAGUCCACACUGUAAACGAUGAUUACUAGGUGUUGGAGGAUUGACCCCUUCAGUGCCGCAGUUAACACAAUAAGUAAUCCACCUGGGGAGUACGACCGCAAGGUUGAAACUCAAAGGAAUUGACGGGGGCCCGCACAAGCAGUGGAGUAUGUGGUUUAAUUCGAAGCAACGCGAAGAACCUUACCAGGUCUUGACAUCCGAUGCAUAGCACAGAGAUGUGUGAAAUCCUUCGGGACAUCGAGACAGGUGGUGCAUGGUUGUCGUCAGCUCGUGUCGUGAGAUGUUGGGUUAAGUCC